ACAGCAUCUUAAACAGGUCGUGGCCUCUGAGCAGUAGGCCAGGAUUUGGUAGCUGGUGCUAAAAUCAAUUCUCUCCUGCAACACUCCCUCUAGCAAUGUUUGGGCUAUAUGGGAUUACUAUGAGAGAGAAACAAAU
rnacentral:snoRNA from 11 species